rnacentral:lncRNA from 1 species
GUUCUGUACUUGGCUAAUCACACAGCCAGCCCAUACAUGUGGUGCUGAAUGCUCUAAGAAAAUUCCUGAGCUGGGUGGUGGUGGAGCACACCUUUAGCUAUGCUUUUAAGCACUCAGGAGGCGGAGGCAGGUGGAUUUCUGUGAGUUCGAGGCCAGCCUGGUUUACAGAGUGAGUUCCAGGACAGCCAGGGCUAUACAGAGAAAACCUGUCUCAAAAAAGCAAAAGAGAGAUAGCAAUAGAGUUAAUUAGAUAGAUAGAUAGAUAGAUAGAUAGAUAGAUAGAUAGAUAGGUAGAUAGAUUAUCCUGCCAUGUACAGUAUAAUCCAUACAUGGAUCCAGGAGGCAGAGGCAGGAGGAUAGUGAGUUUGACUCACUCAGUGGUCCUAUAGAAAAAGAGGCUACACACACCUGCCCCAUCCCCAUGUCCACAGCUCAUGUCCUGUGAGGACAACAUUGAUAGCUGUAUUUGCAUACAAACUAGGAUCAAUAGUGAUGACGUAGACAGAAACUGUGGGUCCUACGGUCACAAGUACCUUCCCAGACAUGCUUACACUUGUCCUCAGAAGCCACGAGACAAACAGACACGGCUGAGCCAUACAUUUAAGGAAUCUUUUAAAGCCAAGGACUCCGAGCCUCCCAGCCAGGCUCUGGCCCUCCUGAUGUUGCUGACCUCCUGAGCAGGUAGAGAUAAAGAGUGCUGGGUAAUACAUCAGCCUGAUGGUUUCUUCAGACAGGCUGUCUUCAGGGCUCUAGAAGCCCAUACAGAAUAGAGCAGUUAGGAAGCAAGAUGAAGGCCGCAUGCACAAAGCCCUGGGUUUGAUCCCCAGACCCCCAUGAAUCAGACAUGGUGGUAAACACCUGCAAUCCUAGCAAUCAGGAGGUGAAAACAGGAGGAUUAAAGUGUCCAAGGUCAUCCUUGGCUACAUAAUACAUUCAAGACCAGACACAGCAACACAAGACCCUGCCUCCAGAAAAAAAGCAAUCUAACCCUGGCCAGGCCCCAUCAAGAUGCAAGGGUUGUGAGAGAAAGAUGGGUGGUGGCCACGGACAGAGUCUACGGACCAGGAAAUCGUGAGAAACACCGUGGACUUCAUGGGGUCUCCCGGUGGAGAAUUCUGAAGAUUGGUGCACCUUUCACUCCCAGACCACAGCCUCCCCAGUUCAUCCCAGCCAAGGAUGGAAGGGUCCCUCCCUACAUCGACAACAAGAGCCCACGGCUUCUCUCUCACCUGCGUAGGACAGCCGGUCACCAUGUUUGCUCUUUUUGAUGGAGGCUUGGGAAGGUGGAGACCGAACCAGGCUGUUCACACAUACAAACACAUUCCCCAUUUGUCUGGAAGAGAACCCGACUCUGCUGGGGAAACAUGCCAACCAGGUGUCCAUUCCACCCAAGCAGAGAGAAACUUGCAUUUUGCACGAAAGAAAAUGGGCUUGGUCCAAAGAAGACUUGAAGCUGCCACUUCCUCUGUGCCUGUCCAGCACUUACAGGUCGAGACGGGGUGCGGGGCUCAGAGCCCGGCUUCUGUUCUGAAAGCGCCAACACCCAGCUCACAGGCCAAUGGCCCUCCUUCCAGCUCAAAUGGCGGUACAUCAGCAUGCCUUUAAUCCCAGUACUCAGGAGGCAGAGGCAAAUGGAUCUCUGUGAGUUCAAGGCCAAUGUUGGCUACAGAGCAAGUUCCUGGACAGCCAGGGCUACACAAAGAAACCCUGUCUUAAUAAAACAAACAAGCAAACCAAAAAAAAAAAAAGUAGAGAGCAAUAGAGGAAGAUAAAGACACCCAGUGCUGACUUCUAGCUCCAUCCCAUAUGCACAACACCACACACACACACACACACACACACAGAGCCACAAAACAAAGGAGACUGCAGUUACUCCACAGUGGCAGUUGGAAAGUUCCAGUGUUUGGGUCAAAACAUUUUUAUGAAUACAUGCUUUUCAAAGCUGUAUCCAUCCAGUUGGGUGUGGCCAUCUCUGUACUCCCGGAGGAUGUGAGAAGCAAGCUUCAAAAGGAAUCUUUGCUUUUUCACUCUUUGGUGUGAUUUGGUGGCAGGUGGGACGUGUCCAUUUGGUUUUUUGUCUUGUUUUGGUUUGGUCUGGUCUGAUGUGGCUUGGUUUUAGGCACAAUCUCACCACUUAGCUCUGGUAAGCUCGGAGUUCACUAUGUAGACCAGGCUGGCCUCAAACUCACAGAGUUCUGCCUGCCUCUGCCUCCAGAGUACUGAGAUUAAAGGUGUGCGCCACCACACACAGCCUUGCCUUAUCUUUACUUUUUAACUUUAACAUUCAACUCAAUCUGUUUCUUAGGUCUGUUUAGGAUCUCGUUUUCCUGAGAUUGAUUUUCUUGUAAGUUCUUUAUUUUAUGUUUUGAUCGACACAUAAUAAACCCAUAUACUUAGAGCUUUUUUUCCUCCUUCCCUUUUGGGUAAAAGUCCCUGGCAUCCUUACAAGAUCCUCGAAGCCCCAGCUCAGGAAGAGAGAAAGGGAGAGAACACAUGCAGUAGGUCCUCUGUGGGGACCACGUCUCAAGUGCCAGCUGUGAAUCAUUAACGAUCAAUUCUUUGUGGGGAGGGGACUUUUGGGACUUUCUUUGUUGUACUUUUAACAAUCAGGAGCCACCUUCACCCAGCAGCUUCUCUGAGCUGUCACAUUAUUUAAAUGAGAGCCUGGGUGACAUUUGUAGAUGAAUGUUUCUCGGUAGAACCUAAAAAGAUGUGUUCUGAGCACAGCUUUGAUGGGCACAGUUCGGGCUUUAAAAAUAAAGGUUCUGAGCACUUUCAUCGGGGAGUGACUUGCCGUGCUUCAGUGCGGAGACCGAGGACACUCCCAGCCACUUUGAAAAAGAACAGGGGAGAGAAAAGUUUUGUGCUUCAAGACAAACAGACGAAUGUUCCACAAGUGACAUUUGCAGGGAACGGGUGGUGGGGACACGGCGCUCAAAAUAUACUUAGAAUCUCUCUGCUCUCCAUUGUUCGUUAUGUAUCUAAUUAUUCUAGUUACGGGCUUGUCAAAGAAAGUUUUAGGUGGCACGUGUUGUUCCUUAAGGGAAAAAAAAAGUAAGUUGAAGACGAAGUCUAACUUCGUACAGGGGGUUGAAACUACCGGGGUUGGUAAACGUGGGGACCACGGCGUCCUGAUAUAGAACAAGCUGGCCACAGAUGCUGCCGUCAGUCGAUCCCUACAGAAUCCUGGCUACUUAAGGGCUCGGUCUGUAAAGGCCACGAGGCCAGGCACAGGGAUACAGGCUCCUCAGGUUAAGACAACCGUCGGAAAGCAAGCUCCAAGACUGGCUGUCUCUCAGGACAGCUUGGAGAUAAGCUUCCUUUAUCAGAGAGUGGACAUUCAUCCUCUCAGAGCCGCAGAGAGCGUGGAACUUCAAAAUCAACUCUCCCUUUACGAGUUAGCCGUCCUUGAGCCAGCCUUGCACCCACUCAGGGCCUUUGUACCUGCCCUGCCUUCUGCCUGGAAUACCCUUCCUGGUUUCUUCAUGGUGGAGCACUGCCUUUUCUGCCUUUCCCAGCCCCUCCAACAUACUGCAUUCAUGUGUGUGUGUGUGUGUGUGUGUGUGUGUGUGUGUGUGUGUGUGUGUUUAUGUACAUGUUGUUGUGGGAGUCAGAGGACAACUUGAGAGCCAGUUCUCUUCUACUAUGUGGGUCCCAGGGAUCAAUCUCAGGUUGUCAGACUUGGUGGCAAGUGCCUUUAUCUACUGAACCAUCUCCCCAGCCCUGACACUAGCUUCUUCUUGCUUAUUUACUAGCAGCACUAGCUUAAAUGAUUGCUAUCCCCCACACACACAAGCAUACCAUGCCCAUGAGUCUGGGGGUUGUUAUGGAAACAGAGGAGCUACUGUAGGUCUUUAGAGGGCAAAGGUCAAGGAUGUUCUGACCCCUGCAGAGAGUGGACUGGCCUUUAAAAAGCUGUCACCAGCAUCAUAGGGCCUCCUGAAAUUUCUGGACCUUUUGGGGUUGCUGGGACAGCUGCCCACAGGAUGGGCAUCCUGUGUCCAUUUGGCUUCACCCUGCUAUGUAACAUCACCCCAACUCCACCACUGGUCACCUCCAACACUGAACAUGAGGCCGCUGUGCAGCUCACCUUACGAUUCAUUUCUGUGUUUGAGAUUAAGUAAUAAUUUCCUUCUUGUCCCACUCACGGGCCAACCAUGCCAGAAGAGCGCUUUAGGAGCAGGGGAGUGUGUGUUAGGGUGGGGGCUGGGUAAGCACAUCUUCCAUAAAAGUUUCUCUGUCACCAUUCACCAGGUACCAGCUGAACACCUUCUCUGGUCAUUAUUAAUUAAUUUAUUCAUUUAUUCAUUAAACCUUUCAGGGCAAUUUACCAUCUGAAAAGAGAAGUGAUGACGGCAGAAACAGGG